rnacentral:rRNA from 1 species
UUGCAGAGGAUGCUUCGGGAGCGGUCCCCAUCUAAGUGCCCUGGAACGGGCCGUCAUAGAGGGUGAGAAUCCCGUCUGGGAUGGGGUGCCCGCGCCCGUGUGAAGCUCCUUCGACGAGUCGAGUUGUUUGGGAAUGCAGCUCUAAUUGGGUGGUAAAUUUCAUCUAAAGCUAAAUAUUGGCCGGAGACCGAUAGCGCACAAGUAGAGUGAUCGAAAGAUGAAAAGCACUUUGAAAAGAGAGUUAAACAGCACGUGAAAUUGUUGAAAGGGAAGCGCUUGCGAUCAGACUCGCCCGCGGGGUUCAGCCGGCAUUCGUGCCGGUGUACUUCCCCGUGGGCGGGCCAGCGUCGGUUUGGGCGGCCGGUCAAAGGCCCCUGGAAUGUAACGCCUCUCGGGGCGUCUUAUAGCCAGGGGUGCCAUGCGGCCUGCCCGGACCGAGGAACGCGCUUCGGCUCGGACGCUGGCAUAAUGGUCGUAAGCGACCCGUCUUGAA